GACGGAGGAUGCAAGCGUUAUCCGGAAUUAUUGGGCGUAAAGCGUCCGCAGGUGGCCUAUCAAGUCUGCUGUCAAAGACCGGGGCUUAACCCCAGAAAGGCAGUGGAAACUGAAAGGCUAGAGGAUGGUAGGGGCAGAGGGAAUUCCCAGUGUAGCGGUGAAAUGCGUAGAGAUUGGGAAGAACACCGGUGGCGAAAGCGCUCUGCUAGGCCGCAACUGACACUGAGGGACGAAAGCUAGGGGAGCGAAUGGG
rnacentral:rRNA from 1 species